rnacentral:rRNA from 1 species
UACGAAGGUGGCAAGCGUUACUCGGAAUUACUAGGCGUAAAGGGCAGGUAGGUGGUCUGGUAAGUCUGUUGUGAAAGCUCCUUGCUUAACGGGGAGAGGUCAACAGAUACUGCCAGGCUUGAGUCUAGGAGAGGGUACUGGAAUUCCCGGUGUAGCGGUGAAAUGCGCAGAGAUCGGGAGGAACACCAAUGGCGAAAGCAGGUACCUGGACUAGUACUGACACUCAACUGCGAAAGCGUGGGGAGCAAACAGG